GCGCGGGUCGAGGCGGGAUAGACCAAAAUUCAUUUUUUUGCCCCGGUCGACUGCGUGCAGUGCCCGCGCAGUGAUGAUCCCUAAUGGACGAACUCUCGGCAACUGAUACGUAGGCUGCCGCAUCGUUGAAGAAAAUAGCAAAAUCGCAUCCCUGGCGCUUAAACAGAAUCGUUCGAACCAUCGAGUUUUCAACCCAAGUAGCGCCCGAGGCCUUCUGGCCGAGGGCACGUCUGCCUGGGCGUCACGCCAAAAGACACUCCCAACCCACCCGAGGGGGAGGGACGUGGUGUUUGGUCCCCCGUGCCGCAGGGCGCGGUGGCCCGAAGUUGGGGCUGCCGGCGAAUCGUGUCGGGCACAGCACGUGGUGGGCGACACUCAGUUGUUCUCGGUGCAGCGCCCCGGCACGCGGCCGGUGCAUCGGCCCUAAGGACCACAAGGAGCACCGCAGCGCGUAGCCGCUCGGACCGCGACCCCAGGUCCAGUCUGGGAGUACCCGCGAGUAUUUUUUCUUUU
rnacentral:sRNA from 1 species